GGAGGACAUUGCGCUGAGGCUCGUCUCCCUGCACCAGGCCUUCACUACGCUGAGCAGGAACCAUCUAUUUGUGGCGGGAAAGGUCUUCCUGGGCGCCCUGGUUCAGGCCAACCACAUGAAGAGGCCAAGUUCAUCCGUACCUAUAACGACUUUGUGGACUACCUGAGUGACCCCUCCAAGUGGA